AUAGUACGGUAACCGUUACCUUUCAGGGUGGGGUAAGUAACGUAGACGAAAGUUACGCCAAUACCGCAUAUUCUGUGAGCAGGAAAGCAGGGGAUCGCAAGACCUUGCGCUGAUUGAGCGGCCGAUAUCAGAUUAGCUAGUUGGUGAGGUAAAGGCUCACCAAGGCGACGAUCUGUAGCGGGUCUGAGAGGAUGAUCCGCCACACUGGAACUGAGACACGGUCCAGACUCCUACGGGAGGCAGCAGUGGGGAAUUUUGGACAAUGGGCGCAAGCCUGAUCCAGCCAUGCCGCGUGAGUGAAGAAGGCCUUCGGGUUGUAAAGCUCUUUCGGCCGGGAAGAAAUCGCACAGGUUAAUACCCUGUGUGGAUGACGGUACCGGAAUAAGAAGCACCGGCUAACUACGUG
rnacentral:rRNA from 1 species